ensembl:snRNA U6 U6 spliceosomal RNA
GUGCUCACUUUGGCAGCACAUAUACUUAAAUUGGAAUGAUACAAAGAAGAUUAGCAUGGCCCCUGCUCAAGGAUGACAUGCAAAUUGGUGAAGCAGUUCAUGUUUUU